rnacentral:rRNA from 1 species
UAUGUGAUCGUCUCUCGCAUAUCAAUAAGCGGAGGAAAAGAAACUAACAAGGAUUCCCCUAGUAACGGCGAGUGAAGCGGGAAGAGCUCAAAUUUGAAAUCUUAAAGGGUUUCCCUUUACGAAUUGUAGUUUAAAGAAGUGUUUUCUGUUGAGGUUUUGGUAAAAGUUCUUUGGAAUAGGACAUCAUAGAGGGUGAGAAUCCCGUAUUUGACCUUUACUUUCAACUUUGUGAUACACUUUCAAAGAGUCGGAUUGUUUGGGAAUGCAGUCCAAAAUGGGUGGUAAAUUUCAUCUAAAGCUAAAUAUUGGCGAGAGACCGAUAGCGAACAAGUACCGUGAGGGAAAGAUGAAAAGAACUUUGAAAAGAGAGUUAAACAGUACGUGAAAUUGUCAAAAGGGAAGCGUUUGACACCAGUGUUGUUUUUCUGAAAAUCAAUUAAAGAACUGUUUAUGCUAAGCUGUUUAGACUUAUCAGCUAUCUGUUUAGUUUUGAGCUUUUCUUUAAUGCACUUUUCAGUUAACAAGUCAACAUCAAUUUCUUUUGCUGUAAAAAAGCUUGAGGAAGGUGGCUUGAGAUUCGUCUUAAGUGUUUAUAGCCUCUUGCCUAUGCAGUCGGAGAGAUUGAGGUCUGCAGCGUAGAUCCUUCGGGGCUAAAUGCAUUUGUGCUAAGUUAUAGCAUUUUAUAGACAACUUGUUGACUAUGAUUUGUCUUGUAGCUUACUCGCUUAUGUUAUUUUACCUACGCUUAGGAUGUUGACACACGCGCGUGCUCG